UACGUAGGGUCCAAGCGUUGUCCGGAUUCAUUGGGCGUAAAGAGCUCGUAGGCGGCUUGGCAAGUCGGGUGUGAAAACUUCAGGCUCAACCUGGAGAUGCCACUCGAUACUGCUAUGGCUAGAGUCCGGUAGGGGACCACGGAAUUCCUGGUGUAGCGGUGAAAUGCGCAGAUAUCAGGAGGAACACCGGUGGCGAAGGCGGGUCUCUGGGCAGUAACUGACGCUGAGGAGCGAAAGCGUGGGGAGCGAACAGG
rnacentral:rRNA from 1 species